rnacentral:rRNA from 1 species
UGUAAGCGUAUACCAAAGUUGUUGCAGUUAAAACGCUCGUAGUCGGAAUUUGGCAGUUCCGGAUGUGUGCACGUCGUGUGCGCACUUCGCGGGGAUUGCUUUUGUGGUCUUGCGUAGGAUGAGGCACUUUUAUUAGUGAACGUCCUCACGCAACCACUUUUUACUGUGAGAAAAUCAGAGUGCUCAAAGCAGGCAUUUGCCGUGAAUGUAUUAGCAUGGAAUAAUAGAAUAGGACUUGGUUCUAUUUUGUUGGUUUGUUGGGACUGAGUAAUGAUUAAGAGGGACAGUUGGGGGCAUUUGUAUUUCGGUGCUAGAGGUGAAAUUCUUAGUUUACCGAAAGACAAACUGCUGCGAAAGCGUCUGCCAAGGAUGUUUUCAUUGA